GAUUAGCCAUGCAUGUGUAAGUACAAGCCGAUUUAAGGCGAAACCGCGAAUGGCUCAUUAAAUCAGCUAUGUUUCAUUGGAUCUGUAAACCCCACUUACUUGGAUAACUGUGGUAAUUCUAGAGCUAAUACAUGCAUCACGUCUCUGACCGCAAGGGAAGAGCGCUUUUAUUAGUUCAAAACUGGUCGGGCCUCGGUCCGUUAAAACCCACCUGUGGUGAAUCUGAAUAACUUUUCGCUGAGCGCACGGUCUCCGCACUGGCGCCGCGUCUUUCAAGUGUCUGCCUUAUCAGCUUUCGAUUGUAGGUUAUGCGCCUACAAUGGCUAUAACGGGUAACGGGGAAUCAGGGUUCGAUUCCGGAGAGGGAGCCUGAGAAACGGCUACCACAUCUAAGGAAGGCAGCAGGCACGCAAAUUACCCACUCCCGGCACGGGGAGGUAGUGACGAAAAAUAACGAUGCGAGACUCAUCCGAGGCCUCGCAAUCGGAAUGAGUACACUUUAAAUCCUUUAACGAGGAUCAAUUGGAGGGCAAGUCUGGUGCCAGCAGCCGCGGUAAUUCCAGCUCCAAUAGCGUAUAUUAAAGUUGUUGCGGUUAAAAAGCUCGUAGUUGGAUUUCAGUUCUGGACUGACGGUACACCGCCAGGUGCUUACUGUCACGCUCCGAAACAGAUGAUGCUGCUAAAGCCGCCCCGCCGGCUCGCACGGGGUGCUUUUCACCGAGUGUCCCGAGUGGCUGGCACGUUUACUUUGAAAAAAUUAGAGUGCUCAGAGCAGGCUACAUGAACGGCCUGAAUGUCUAUGCAUGGAAUACUGGAAUAGGACCUCGGUUCUAUUUUUGUCGGUUUUUCGGAACCUGAGGUAAUGACUAAUCGGAACAGGCGGGGGCAUUCGUAUUGCGACGCUAGAGGUGAAAUUCUUGGACCGUCGCAAGACGAACUACUGCGAAAGCAUUUGCCAAGGAUGUUUUCAUUAAUCAAGAACGAAAGUUAGAGGAUCGAAGGCGAUCAGAUACCGCCCUAGUUCUAACCAUAAACGAUGCCAACUAGCGAUCCGCCGGCGUUAUUCCCAUGACCCGGCGGGCAGCUUCUGGGAAACCAAAGUGUUUGGGUUCCGGGGGAAGUAUGGUUGCAAAGCUGAAACUUAAAGGAAUUGACGGAAGGGCACCACCAGGAGUGGAGCCUGCGGCUUAAUUUGACUCAACACGGGGAACCUCACCAGGCCCAGACACCGGAAGGAUUGACAGAUUGAGAGCUCUUUUUCGAUUCGGUGGGUGGUGGUGCAUGGCCGUUCUUAGUUGGUGGAGCGAUUUGUCUGGUUAAUUCCGAUAACGAACGAGACUCUGGCCUAUUAACUAGUCGACGGAUCUCCCUACCAUUGCAAUUUGGUGGUGUGUCCAGUUCGCAGCUUCUUCUUAGAGGGAUAAGCGGCAAUUGUAUAUAGCCGCACGAGACUGAGCAAUAACAGGUCUGUGAUGCCCUUAGAUGUUCUGGGCCGCACGCGGGCUACACUGAAGGGAGCAGCGUGUUGUCCCCCUCCGAGAGGAGCGGGUAACCCGUUCAAAGCCGUUCUUGAUAGGGAUUGGGGCUUGCAAUUGUUUCCCAUGAACGAGGAAUUCCCAGUAAGUGCAAGUCAUCAGCUUGCACUGACUACGUCCCUGCCCUUUGUACACACCGCCCGUCGCUACUACCGAUUGAAUGAUUUAGUGAGGCCUUCGGACUGGCGCUCUUGGAUGGUCUACCCUCUGCGCGCUUCGGCGACAGAGGGUUUUCGCCUCGAGCUGACGGAAAGAUCUCCAAACUUGAUCAUUUAGAGGAAGUAAAAGUCGUAACAAGGUUUCC
rnacentral:rRNA from 1 species